AAAUAGAAGAUAAUGUCCGAUUUGUAGUUUACACGAAUUUGGUCCUUUUUUUUAAUAGGAUCAUUCGUGGGUAAUCUACACAUCGUGCAUUUUUGUCACGUC